GACGAACGCUGGCGGCGCGCCUAACACAUGCAAGUCGAACGGAGCUGCGAGAAGCUUGCUUUUCUUAGCUUAGCGGCGAACGGGUGAGUAACGCGUGAGUAACCUGCCCUGGAGUGGGGGACAACAGUUGGAAACGACUGCUAAUACCGCAUAAGCCCACGAUCCGGCAUCGGCUUGAGGGAAAAGGAUUUAUUCGCUUCAGGAUGGACUCGCGUCCAAUUAGCUAGUUGGUGAGGUAACGGCCCACCAAGGCGACGAUUGGUAGCCGGACUGAGAGGUUGAACGGCCACAUUGGGACUGAGACACGGCCCAGACUCCUACGGGAGGCAGCAGUGGGGGAUAUUGCACAAUGGGGGAAACCCUGAUGCAGCGACGCCGCGUGGAGGAAGAAGGUUUUCGGAUUGUAAACUCCUGUCGUUAGGGACGAUAAUGACGGUACCUAACAAGAAAGCACCGGCUAACUACGUG
rnacentral:rRNA from 1 species